rnacentral:lncRNA from 1 species
CUGGCCGCGCCCGGCGGCCCUAGGCCUCCUCUAUAAAACCAUCGCCCCUGCGCACCGUCCUCCCCCACCUCCCGAUCAAGCCAUCCAGCCGCCUCUCCUCGCCCUCCUGCCUGCGCGCAUCUCUCUAGAGCUUAAACUCUCCUAGAGAGAUCUCAGGCAGCCCCAAUAACCAACCGCUCGACCCAACUCGUCGUCGUCGUCGUCGCAGAUGGCCGGCCUCAGGAUGAAGCUCGUCGCCGCCGCCGCCGUGGCCGCCGCGCUCGUGGCGUCCGCCGCCGCCCAGGCCCCCGCGCCAGCGCCCACCUCCGACGCCUCGGCCGCGGUGCCCCUCGCGGCGGCGUCCUUCGCCGCCGCCGCCUUCGGCUACCUCUUCUGCUAGAUCCGUCGUCCGGGGAUGCCGUCGUGCUCCCUGGCCGGUCGGGCCUGCUGAUGAUGAUAUGAUUCGUUUUGGCGUGAGUCGAGUCCCCUGUUCGUGGCGCGUGUUGAGGGAUGUCGGUGGGCGUGUGUAUGUACGAGUCGGCGGCGGGUGGAGGUGUGCGCGCGUGGUUGGAUACGUGCGUCGACGCACCACUCUUUGUGGUGGAGAUCAUGUACCCGCUGCGCUUCUGUUUAUCAAUGAGAUGAUUUAUUUGAUUCUUUUCAUCUUAUAUACAAUAUACAUGAGAAUUGCGUAUUCA